GCGUAGGAAACUACCCAGUAGUGGGGGACAACAGUUGGAAACGACUGCUAAUACCGCAUACGCUCUACGGAGGAAAGGGGGCUUCGGCUCUCGCUAUUGGAUGUGCCUGCGUGAGAUUAGCUAGUUGGUGGGGUAAAAGCCUACCAAGGCAACGAUCUCCAGCUGGUCUGAGAGGAUGAUCAGCCACACUGGGACUGAGACACGGACCCGACUCCUACGGGAGGCAGCAGUAAGGAAUAUUGGACAAUGGGCGCAAGCCUGAUCCAGCCAUCCCGCGUGAAGGAUGACUGCCCUAUGGGU
rnacentral:rRNA from 1 species